rnacentral:lncRNA from 1 species
AUUUUAAAUAGUCUUCGUGUGGAAGACAUUUGGAACUAAUAGGAUAUAUGUGAAUGAACGUGAAUAGAUGUGACUAAGAAUUGUUAGCUGUAUGAUGUGAAAUUAAUGAUCCUUAUACAUCUUAUAUCAUUGUGUGAGCGAGUGGAGGUCUGGUUGUUAAUUGUAUAUGUGCUACGCUGUACAAAUACAGAAAAGAUUAUGUCCGUUUAUUUUGAAAACUUCCUGCAUUUGUGGCGGGUCUGUUACGUUUCUGGAUCAAGAUAAAAAAAAAAGUAGGGCAGUUUUCCGCUAACUCUUAUUUAUAAAUAUAGCCCAAAUUCAAAUUGGAUUUCAAAAAAAGGACCUGGAGCGUGACAGUAAAAUAAAAUAAUUUGGCUAAAUAAUAAACAUCUAAAUAUUGGUUAAAUUGUAUUUUAACAAAUUAAUAAAUUAAUUAAUUGAGAAUACUAUAUAGGAUGAUGAAGAAUGACAUUAAUUAGUGAAUAACUAUAAAAAAUAAGUCAAUAUAUUAAUAUUAAAUAAAUUAUUUAAUUAAUUAUAUUUUUAGUUAAUAUAUUAAAUUGAUAAAUUAAAAUAUUAAUUAUGCAAAUAAUAAAAUAUUAGUUAAUGAUUGAAUAAGCGUAUCAAUCGUUAAUUAUUUAAUUAGCUAAUUAAUUAUAAAUAAUAAAUUACUUACUAAUUAAAUACUUAUUAAUUUUAUUAAGUCAAAUAAUUCAUUAGUUAAUUAUUAAAAAGUUUAUUGUAUUAAUUAAUUAAUAAUAUUUUAUAUUAUAUACAACUUAAUUAGUAGAGGGGUAAGAUAGAGAAUGAGUUAUUGUAUCUAAAAGGUGGAAUUACUGUUCUUUUCUUAACAGGUUAUUACGGAAUAACUCGUUAAGAGAAGAAUAGUAAAUUUUUAGUGUCAAUUGAGAGAAUAAGAGGAAUAAAUUUCUUAUUCCCUCCUUAUCCCUUCAACCAAACUUAGCCAUAAAGUUUUUUUUAAAAUCAAAAUUUGAUAGAAUUGUCUAAAUUUUUGAUUGAGUGAUGCAAAAUUCCCCCUUUUUUCUUUUUCUAAACCAUAGGCCAGCGAUUCNNNNNNNNNNNNNNNNNNNNNNAUCUUUUUUUUUUUUUUUUUUUUUUGUUUAGAUUAUAACGUACAGAACUUAUUUGAACUAUAGAUCAUUUUGAGUUGAUUAUCCAACCUUUUAAAACUACCCAACGUUUCAAUUUAUUUGUUUUGAGUCAGUUAAUAGUAUUUUGGUUUCAAAAUUUAAGCUAUUUGUAACUUUAAUUAAUUCUAGCUUCAAGAAUUAAUUGCAUGAAAUAAAUUUAUAAAAAUAAAUGUUGCAUUUAAAUUUUAAAGACGAAGUACUACUGGCUGAUUCAAAAAUCAAACAAAUCGAAAAAUUAAAAUUUUAAAAUAUUAAAUAAUCAUCUAAAAUGAU